CGGUUUCCACAAGUAAAAAAUACCCAGAGAUUCUGUGUGCGUGUGUUUGACUGCAUUGCGCUUGGUCACGUGGAGGAUAGAAGGACAAGACGUAAGUUGUGAGCAGAGUCCAAGAGUCACAUUUAUUGCAUAAAAGACAUAUAUAAGCAGUCUGGUAGUAAUAUACUAAAUCUGGCGUAAAUCCCAGGUCGUCGGAAAGGAACCCUGAUAGAAUAAAAGGAGGAGCAAUUAUGUUUGCACUGCCUCCACAAUACUCUCCAGUUACCACAUCAGCAAGAAACAUUUUGCAAUGAUUCGAAUUGUUUGGGUCCGGCUUAGCGUAUCUACUGGAGUAAGUGGCGUUCACAGCAAAGUACACACCCUUUCCAUAAACAGUUGCUGCCAAGGGAAACACAUGCCUACCAUUUGCUCCAGCAAAGUUUCGGUCAAACCCUUGCACAUAGAUUUUUUCUGCCACAUCAAACGGGGUUCCAUGAAAUAAUUCUUUCA